rnacentral:rRNA from 1 species
CCUACGGGUGGCAGCAGUGGGGAAUAUUGGACAAUGGGGGGAACUCUGAUCCAGCGACGCCGCGUGAGUGAAGAAGUAUUUCUGUAUGUAAAGCUCUAUCAGCAGGGAAGAAAAUGACGGUACCUGACUAAGAAUCCCCGGCUAACUCCGUUCCAGCAGCCGCGGUACUACGUCGGGGGCAAGCGUUAUCCGGAUUUACUGGGUGUAAAGGGGGCGUAGACGGUGGAGCAAGUCUGAUGUGAAAGGGCGGGGCCCAACCCCGGGACUGCCUUGGAAACUGUUGAACUGGAGUGCAGGAGAGGUAAGCGGAAUGCCUGGUGUAGCGGUGAAAUGCGUAGAGAUUAGGCGGAACACCAGUGGCGAAGGCGGCUUACUGGACUGUAACUGACGUUGAGGCUCGAAAGCGUGGGGAGCAAACAGGAUUAGAUACCCCAGUAGUC